rnacentral:tmRNA from 1 species
GGGGCUGUUAUUGGAUUCGACAGGCAUGAUUCGGAGUACAGCUACUGCCCGGAGGUGACGACUCCGUCACUAACGUCAACCUAAAUUUUAAUUGACAAACAACAAAGUCAAUCUUUAGCAUUCGCUGCUUAGUCAGCAUGCUAAGAUCUGCCUAGCAUCGUCCAUGUGCUGGUGUCAGGUCCUAUUGCAGUGGAAUACGCCUAGAGACUUCCACCUGUAGUCUCGGGAAGAGCCUCAUCAGGUUCGCAAACGAAGUCGGUUGGUUUAUUCGCCGUUCGUGCGCUAAAUGAAGCAAUAAACUAUGGUGGUAAACGCUGUAUCGUUCGACGUGUCUGGACAGGGGUUCAAAUCCCCUCAGCUCCAUAG